UUUCCAGACUCCUACGGGAGGCAGCAGUGGGGAAUAUUGCACAAUGGGCGAAAGCCUGAUGCAGCAACGCCGCGUGAAGGAAGAAGGGUUUCGGCUCGUAAACUUCUAUCAACAGGGACGAAAGAAAUGACGGUACCUGAAUAAGAAGCCCCGGCUAACUACGUGCCAGCAGCCGCGGUAAUACGUAGGGGGCAAGCGUUGUCCGGAUUUACUGGGUGUAAAGGGAGCGUAGACGGAAAGGCAAGUCAGAAGUGAAAGCCCAAGGCUCAACCAUGGGACUGCUUUUGAAACUGUCAAACUAGAGUACGGGAGAGGUAAGAGGAAUUCCUAGUGUAGCGGUGAAAUGCGUAGAUAUUAGGAGGAACACCAGUGGCGAAGGCGUCUUACUGGACCGAAACUGACGUUGAGGCUCGAAAGCGUGGGGAGCAAACAGGAUUAGAUACCCGAGUAC
rnacentral:rRNA from 1 species